rnacentral:lncRNA from 1 species
AUAACUGAUGCUUGAUGACAAGUGCCUUCGCUGCCCAUUCCUGAACAGAGGUGGUCGAGCUCUGUUCGCGAAAAACUGGAUCCUUUAGAACCCAAAGCAAAAACUGAUUUCUCACGAUGUGGCUAGGCAGCAACAAAGGUACUAGCCUGAAGUGCUCCCAGUCCCUGGAACUACUCCCCGCGCCCGGGAGCCAAAAGGCGAGUUCGCCUCGAGGUUACCCCGCUCAGAACGCAGGCGGCUCCCAGAUAUGCACUAAUUGAGUCACAAACCACUCGCCAUCCCUAACCAAACGAUUCAUCUCUGCAGCUCAGCCCCCAAUUUGUCCGCAGCACUUUCUUCUGCAAUUCAGAAGCAUUAUCUUGUUUUUAAAAAGUAUCGCGGCAGAGACGUGGCAAUUAUCCUGGGCUCGGGUUACAAUAAAUGGUUUUAGGUUGAGAAAUGUAAGACUACAAAUGCUGCAAGCGUGCUGAUCGCCUCGCUGCCCAGUCUGGACUCGGGUAAGAAGACGAAUGAGGAGCUUUUGGCUGCGGCGAGGGAAAUUCUGAACAAGCUCCCACUGUUAUUCUCCUCUCCUGACGAGGAAGAAAGUAGUGUUGGACAUUUGUCCCUUUGUAAAGUUCUCCCAGUCACACCUCUGACCUUGGAGGAAGAAAGGAUUAAUUAUAUCCUGACAAGGCCAGGCCAAGCUUCUGGUCUGAGUCUGGGUUUUGGAUCAGGUCUAGGUUGGGAACUUCAGAAACGGCAGGAAUGAGGAACGGAACCGAGGUCAAAGUCCGGCAGGGUGAAUAUGGGCCUGGAAAAGAAUACAAGAAGCAUCCGGGUGCCGUCGCUCUGCUAGUAGACGCCUGCUCACCCCAGCAGCCCAGUCGGCCGGCUGUGGCAGCCACACUGUGCGCGUGUCUUUCUCCGGCUCAAACCAGCCCUCACAUCUUGAAGUAAUCAGCAGCCGAGAAGGGACUCGUCCCCCUGGCAUCUCAGGUUAAAGAAGGAGGUCCAGGAAAAUGUGGUAGAGCCAUUACAAGAAAUCCGAGCCGCAGUCAUCAGGGACUCCAAUUGCCAUCGCAUUAGGAUUGAUUAGAGACCAGCAGUACCGUAAUGACCCGGAAAGAGGGGCAGCCGGGGAUUAUUAAUAUCAGAAUGUCGGGCGAGGGGAGAGCAAACUGGGGAGGGAGAAGUCUUAAGUUACUAGGAUUUAUAUAUAAGUGCAGGCUUACCUGAGGAAACCAGAUAGUCAGUGAAUCACGCAAACAAUAAAUCUAAUUGCAUCUAAAAUUUCA